rnacentral:lncRNA from 1 species
CGGCGCCGACGACGGCGGCGGAAUGGAUCAUCGAUCGACGAUCAUCAGGUCGUCGUUUCGGUUUAGCUCACCCUGGAGCAGUCGGUGGAGGUGCUGAUGGUGUAGGGGAUGCUGACGCCGCACUUGGAGGGGAUGCUGGCGGCCUUGCCGACGUUGAGGCCGCGGAUGCCACGGGCGGCGUUCUUGAGGCAGUUGCAGGCGGCGCGCCUGUCGGCGGUGGUGCGGGCGGCGGAGUUGAGGCUCCUGACGCCGCUGCAGCAGCCUGCGGAGGGUCCAGAGCCCUGGCCGCGGGCGUAGGACAGGCAGGGCCCGAUGGCGGAGCUCACCUGACCGCAUGUCACGGCGGCCUCCGAGGUCGUCGCCGCCAGCACCACCGCCGCCACGACGGCGAUCGCCACAGCAAGCUUCAUGCUGCGAGCCAUGUCGAUCUCGAUCGACCUCCUGUGAUAUAUGUGCUGAUGCUCGUAGGUGACUGAUAGCUUUUGGGAUGCAGUGAGUGAGCAAGUGCUAGCUGGUGAGGAGAUUGCAAUGGAAUGUUGCUCCUUAAAUAGGCAGGCUUUGUGAUCGAUGUGUGAGCUAGCUAGCGAUUGCUGAUGAGUGAUGUGCAUGCAUGGGAUGGGUGUGCAUGCUGUUUCAGUCGGUGGAUGCAUGCAUAUGCGUAUAUGUCCAUGGAUCGAUGGUAUCUCUCGCCAUGCAUCGAAGUUAACUGCUGGGGAGGAGGUGGUUGGGUGUUGAGGGAGGAGGGCAGAUGCUUGUUUAGUUGUUGUAAUACCCGAUUUUAAGGACAAAACCAGAUAUGCACCAUAUGUGAGUUUUAAAAGCCAAAUCUCACAUAUAGCUACAAAUAAGGGGUAAUAUCAAAAGACAAUGCAAAAAUUAUAUAACGUACAUAAUAUAAAAGAGAUAACCUUUGAUAGCAAACAACGGAUAGACAACUCCAAACUCCGGGUAUUAACUUCUCUCUACAGGAUCCAACUGACUGGUUGAUCACAAGCCUAAACUUCUCCUGAGGUUUGGGGGAAAUAGCAAGAGUGAGUCCAUGUCAAACUCCACAAGUAUAGCAACUAGAUUGUAUAGCUCCCACAAUCUCAUGAUCAAUGUGACAUAAAUAAUGUAAAGCAUUAAACAAUAAGCAAUGAGCAUAUUUAACACACAAGAUUCAUCACCCUUAAUGUAGAUGUCCCCAAGGCCGUUCCUGACCGUGAGCUCGGCUAGUAUACUAGUUUUAACACUCUGCAGAGGUUGCACAUCUUUACCCAUGAGUCAUGAUUUACCCUUUCGCCCGAGGUGAUCAGCCUCUUAACCCACUUCCAAGGAAGGUCGGCAGGGAUCACUAUGAAGCCUUUCAAAAGUUCGUCUAACAUGUUAGGGCCGCAAGGUUUCCUUUGCGAGCAGAUAUAGAUACCCCCCUUCCGAAUGGCACAAUGACGCGCAGCCUAUACACAUAGGGACAGGGGCUCGCACUAUACCCGUGUCGGUUCAGCCCCUCCGCCCUUUCGGGUAACCUCUAACAAGCUAGAAAAGGUCUUCAUACUGAGCUAAAGCCAGAGCCAUUAUAGCCCUCAUGGUUGCACUGUUAUCCCGGGUGAUCACGUACAGACAAAUCAUCAAGUUGUUAAAAAGUCAUUUUUACCAUUUAUUACUUAACAUUAAUCUAGUCACAGGAUCAUGGUCACAGAAAUAAAAUCCAAAUGCUAUACUUGCCUCAAUCCAAUUGCUCUUGCUUAUCCUUUUGGUCCUGCUGGUCUCACUUGUUGCCAAAGCUUUGAUCUUGAUCACCGAAACUGCUCUCCGUCUAAACUCGAUCAUCGAUCAUCAACACACAAACAAUCGGACACAACAUACACGUAGCAAACAAGGCUAUAAUUAGAACAGUACACCAAUCAUAUAAAAACAAUAUGAAAAAUUUGUAAAAUAAUUCUACGCAUCGCUACGAUCUCACAGACGUAAAGAUGACGAAAAUCGGAGUUAAAACGGAAAAGAUAUGGAUUUUCUAAGAUUUUAUAUAGAAAAGUAAUUAAUUAAUUAAGGUCACGAAAUUAAAAGGUUUCAAACUGAGUGAACAAUAUUACUAACAUGUAGUGCUCGUGAUUACGAACCUAACACAAUUUCAAUGGACAAAACGGAGUUAAAACAGAGAUGAUAUGGCCUAAAUAAACUAGCGUAUUUUCUUUGUAUUUUUAGGUUUGUUUUUCUAAAGGAAAACGGCAAUAAAACAUGUCUAUGUUAUAACGACGUCAUCAAGCUAGCCAGCAACGUUUAUUCGCAGAUAUAUGUUAGACAUGUACAUCCCUAGAUCGAUUGCUGCGCAGAUAGAAACAUCGCCGGGCGAAACAAAUCAGUGCAUGCACUUGUAGAGGCUUUGUGAAAUUUCUCACACAGGAAUCGACAUAUUAAAGAUGCAAAGUUACCUCUUAUGGUGAUUAUAAGAUUCAAUAGGACAUGCUUGCCGAACGAUGGGUCAGUGGCCACGUCGUCAAGAACAGGUUGAUCUACGGCAACACCUUCUACUCCCGUGCUCUGUUGCUUGCUACUCUUCACGUGGCCAGCGAUUUGGUCUUCUGCUUCUUUGGUCCACAAUCACGAUGGUUCACCGGAACAUGGCAAGCAGCUCUGGCAAGCAGGACGUGGCAAGAGCAGAGCGGCGGCCGUAACAUGGCAAGGGCAGCAUCUAUCUAGGCAUGGCCGACGGCGGCGGCUCUCAAGGGUUUUAAGGACGUAAACACUCUAGACGAAUAUGACGUGUAUAUAUACGUGCGGUCUAGAUCAAGUUUGAUUAGGGUUAGAACUUAUUAUUUUUGGAAUUAAUUAUUUUCAUGGAUAAAAUAAUUAUAGAAAAGUCCAGAAUUAUUAUUUAAACUAUGAAAAAUAUUCUAAAAGCUCUGAAAAUUCGGAGAAAAUUCUCAGAGACAUUAUGGAAUAUGAGGAACUCAAAUAACGUAUUUGGACCUCAUGAUAAGAUAAUUUGGAGCAUCUAAAAAUUAGAUUUAUGCUCAUAGAAAAGUGAGAAUAGAAGAUGGAAAAAUUCCCGAAAAGUUUGUAGAGAUUGCUUGAUGGACGAGGAACUAAAAGAAGUGCUUUGAGUGACAAAGAAAAGAUUUUAGGAAGCUCCUAAUAAAAAAUUGAGCUGAGAAACCAAAGAAUUUGGUUAUAGAUAAAGAUAAAGACGUACUGGUCAAGGAAGAUCUACUAAACGCAUUUUAAAACUUUGCUCACUCAACACAUAAAGGAGCAACAAGUCAACAUCACAUCAAAACAUAUGCACCAGCAUGUAUGCACAACAAUAUUGCUAAGGCUUAUGAUAAAUUUUAAUUUAAUGAAAAUUAUUAUUUUCCUUAUAUUUUCGUGAGCACAAAAUACAAAACUGAAUAAAUUUUCAUCUAUUUUGAAAAGAGCAAAAUUUAGGGUGUUACAGUUGUCAAAAUUUUUUAAAAUUCUCAAUCAAAUUAAAUCUUGGGACACAAUGUAUCAAAUAUUAAAUAUAGAUAAAAAUUAAUUAAUUAUAUAGUUUGUAUAUAAUUUGCGAGAUAAAUUUUGUAAACCUAGUUAAUCUAUAAUUAAACAAAAAUUAUUAAAUAUAAACGGUGCUAUAGUAACUAGAUCCAAAAAUUUUCACCAACUAAGGGCUUGUACAACGAUGGGCGCUUAUGAUCAGGUAUUGGCCGUUAAAUAGUUUUUUUGCCACACGGUGGAGUCCUGAGCGGGCGCUUAAAAAUAGAUUUGCCGCUCCGUAAAGCAUCGACGCCUAGACCGGCUCCUUGCUUGAUACUGGUGUUUGCAUGCGACGUAACGGUCACAACUUAAGCGCCUUCAAAUACGUGUUGUGUUGUAGAUUAAGGUUAUAAAGAGACGCUUAGUUACAAAAGUAUUUUCUCUUUCCAUCUAAGCGCCUUUUGCAUUGUACGUGCUCUAAACAAGGCCACAGAUACAGACAUACAGUGGUUAGCUGAGGCAGAGUGAAAUCAUUAGCAGCAAACAUAUAAUAAAUAGCAGCCGCCUAGCACGACUUAGCGCCACUUAAGUUUUGUUUAGUUACGCUCGAAAUCCAAAAACUUUUCAAGGUUCUCUUCACGUCGAAUUUAGAGACACAUACAUGUAGCACGACUUAGCGCCACUUAAGUUUUGUUUAGUUACACUCGAAAUCCAAAAACUUUUCAAAGUUCCCUUCACGUCGAAUUUAGAGACACAUACAUGAAGCAUUAAAUAUAAAUAAAAAAAUAACUAAUUACAUAAUUUAUCUGUAAUUUGAGAGACGAAGCUUUUGAGUCUAGUUAGUCUAUAGUUGAACAAUAAUUAUCAAAUAUAAAAAAAAAUGUUAUAGUACCAAAAAAAUCUUUUCACUCACGAACUAAAUAAAGGCCCUAAUCUCAUCAUCCGCCUCACUGUUUAAUCGAAUGUCCUUGAUGGCCACCCACAGGCUCACAAAACCUGAGACGGUGAGACCUUGCCUGGGGUAGUAUAUGGGGCCAAUGGCCAAUCCAUUUAUCAGUUUGCCCAAGGCAGGUGGUGGGCCACUCUGUUCAAUUUUGAGUCUAAUAUAUGCAAUAUCUUCUCUUUUGUGCAAUUUUUGUCCGUGGGUUCAAACAAUCCUGCCACCGUGUCACCGGUGGCUGAUCGUGUCAACCCUUCGCCGCAGUCCGCUCCACCACAGUACGGGGGGCCCAGUUGCAGUCUCUGCCACCGCAGUAGGGAUGUUGAACUUGUAAUAAUAAAUAUGUGAGUGCUUUUAAUAUAUAAUGCAUGUUGGUGAUAUAGAUGUGAUAAUUGGCGUGUGUGUAUAUAUAUUGUCUGUUACAAUGGAAUGUAAAAAAUAAAACAAAUACAAUUCUCGGGGUCUUCGCCGAGUGCGGUGCCAGGGUCACUUGGCAAAGCAAUUUAAAAAAACAAUUUUGCCGAGUGUCGGGGCCACGACCACUCGGCAAAGAAUUUUUCUUUAAAAAAGAAAAGACACUUUGCCGAGUGCUGAUGCUAGGGGCACUAGGCAAAGUAUUUUUAAAAAAAACAAAUAUGCGGAGUGCCGCGGCAAGGGACACUCAGCAAAUAUUUUUUUUUUAAAAAAAAAGAAAGAAAAUCUUUGUCGAGUGCCUGAGGCCAGAGGCACUUGGCAAAGCAAUUUUUUUUAAAAAAACUUUGCCGAGUGUUAAGGGGCCAGGGGCACACGGUAAAAUAUUUUUUAAAAAACAAAAACUUUGUCGAGUGUCGUGUCGGGCAACUCGGCAAAAUAACUGUUAACGGCAGAUGCUGUGACGGCCAAAAAUGUUGCCGAGUGCUGUCGUAAGCACUCAGUAAAAUGUUUUUAAUAUUUUGCUAAGUGCCUCGGUAAAAAGCACUCAGCAAAGUCUCUUUGUCGAAAAUUUUUUUGCCGAGCGAACUUUGCUGAGUGCUACGUUCGGCAAAGCCUUUGCCGAGUGCAAAGGGCUCUUUGUCGAAUGUAAAAACACUCGGCAAAGUCCUAAUUUCCAGUGGUGGGUGUGCUGGGACAAUUUAGAAAGCAAGCAACGAUUUCAUUUUGCGUUAGAUCACUCCCAUCCUCGAAGCCUCAGUUUUUUUUUUCAGAAAUAAGUUCCAGCUGUUGCUGCUGAGAACUAAAAGAAGCUUUUCACCCUUGAUUGAUCAAUGGAUUGGCUCUCUAGUUUAACAGGCUUCUUUGUUGUACUCUUUUUGCUCUUUUUUCCUUAGUUUUUUUGUUCCUUAGUUAAGACUCCACCCUACUGCCUCCUUAACUGUUGUGCUUUUUUUUUUGUAAAAGACCUUUUUUAUUAUAAUUUUUGCAUUGUUGUAGGGGUGCAAACCCCUCCAAUCUCCUUCAAAAAAUUCAAAAGUAAUAUAACCUUGCAGAACAAAGGACGGUAAUCCCACCAUUUUGCUAUGUGAGCCCACUCCUCUUAUUUUUUUUACUUUUAUUUUGAUUAUGCCCACUCCUGUUAAGCAGUCAUUUGUUCCAUUCCCUAAAUAUAUUUCUAUUUUUUAGAAUAUUCAAUAAGGCGUAUAUACAUUAUAUUUUAAGAAAUAAACUAUAUUCAAGACAAAUCUACCCACAUCAAUAUUACUUGUAUACAUUCAAAUAAACAUGUAGACAUAAUAAUUCGAUAGUUAAGGUUUCAAAAUGAUUGAAAUAAGACAACUUGAAAUAUGUCACAAUAAAAAAUUAUUUGUGGUCAAAGUUUCUGAAAUUAUUGACUUACGACAACGUACAUCCAAGUGUCACUUAAUUGCUUUGUGAGCAGAGGGAGUAUAUAUUUUGGCAAGUUACCCUCCAUCUAAAAAUAUAAAACACAUGUUUUUAGGACAGUAAGAUUUGACCAAUAGGUGCUUGUGCCAUUAAUAUGCAUAAAUCAUAGAUACUUUUGAAUACAAAUAUCUAGUUACAUCAAUUUGCUACCACAAAAUUGCAAGUAUCUUGGUUAAAGCCAUGUCUAACAAAACAUGAGCUUUGGGAUGGAUAUAUAUCAUAUUGGUGUGUACGUUUAGUAGUCUCUCUUCGUUUCAAUUUAUUAGAUGUUGUUUUGGCUUUUGUAGAUACAAAAAUUUUUUUAUGUAUCUAGAUAACGUUUAUUAUGAUAUAGAUAUAUCGUAUAUCUAUAUGCCUAAAAAACUGAAUAUCUAGAAAAACUAAAAUAACCUAUAAUUUAGGAUAGAGGGUGGUAAUAAUUAUACAUCUUCUGCUACCAAGUCCCUUAAUUACAGCACACAGCUCUGUUUUCUAGUUGCCUUGAUCGUUCAUCAGAUGAAUUAUGUAUUUGAAGAGUAGCGCGUGUGUGGUCAUGUCAUGAAAACGUGCUAGCUAGGUACUUGUUUUAAUUUCCACCGUGUGAGUAUUUUUUUUUUUCAAGUGGCGAGAGUUCAUUAAUUAAAUAAAACCAUUCAAUUUUUCAAAUCACAAUACGUUGUCUGCAAAUCCUCUGAGUCAGCCAGUUUUUCGUUACGUGCUAUACUCCGUCCAUUCUAAAUUAUGUUUUUUAAACUUUUUGGUAUAUUCAUUUUGCUACAUACUAAAAAAAUUAAAAAUAACUUAUAAUUUAGAACAGAAGAGGUAUAUAUAUAGUUGCAUAUAUGCUGACAAGUGUUUGGGGGAGAAUAGAGCAGUAACUCUCUUGACCAAGCGUUUGGGAGUCAUGGAACACAGUCACAUGGCGCAUGCAUGCGUAACAACAAUUUGGAAACAAAGAGAUGUGUGUGUGCAUGUAGCAGUGAUCGAACUAGUACAAACCACAGGAGCGAGAGGAAACGUACACGGACAUAAAUAAUAAACACCGCACAUAGUGCAUGCACUCAAAAAUAAACCCAACAAGCAAAAGUACAUCUCUCACACACACAUGUACACACGCACGUACGUACAUACGCUAAGAUGCAAGCGUAUCACAGCGUACACGACGACACGUACGUACAUACGGAGAGAUUUUUAUUCAGUAGUACGACGUAGCAGUAGUAGACAACUCAUCAUCUCAUCAUAUCAGGCGUAGAUAGAUACUCAUCCAUGGUCGAUGCUCCGGCGCCGAUCGACGACGACGGCGGCGGCGGCGGAAUGGAUCAUCGAUCGAUCGAUCAUCGUUUAGGUUUAGUUCACCCUGCAUGAUCAUGCAUGCAUGGAAGACGAAGCACAAGUUAAUUAAACGACUUGAUAUUCAAGUUGAAUCAGACCAUGCAUGCAUGCAAAGUUGCAAACAACUUGUAGUGAUUGGAUCAUUCAUUCAGAUCAUCACUUAAUUACCUGGAGCAGUCGGUGGAGGUGCUGAUGGUGUAGGGGACGCUGACGCCGCACUUGGAGGGGAUGCUGGCGGCGUUGCCGGCGUUGAGGCCGCUGAUGCCACGGGCGGCGUUCUUGAGGCAGUUGCAGGCGGCGCGCCUGUCGGCGGUGGUGCGGGCGGCGGAGUUGAGGCUCCUGACGCCGCUGCAGCAGCCUGCUGAGGGUGCGGAGCCCUGGCCCCGGGCGUAGGACAGGCAGGGCGCGAUGGCCGAGCUCACCUGCCCGCAGGAGAUGGCCGCCUCCGAGGUCGUCGCCGCCAGCACCACCACCGCCGCCGCCGCCACCACGGCGAUCGCCACAGCAAGCCGAGCCAUGUCGUCGAUGUUCUGGGGGUGUCUGAGACUUGCUUGUACUAGCUUUGGAAUGCAAGUGAGCAAGUGCUAGCCGCUGGUGAGGAGAGUGAGAUGGAGUGUGGCUCCUUAAAUAGGCAGGCUUGCGAUCGAUCUGAUCUGAUCUGAUCUGGGAGCUAGCUACAGUAGCUUGUCAUUGCUGAUGACAGAUGUGCAUGCAUGCACGGUGUUGUUGCAUUGCAUGCAGUUUCAGGCAGGCAGUCGGUGGAAUGGUGGAUGCAUGCAUAUGAAUGAAUGAAUAUGGUGGAUGUUCCAACAUCAUCUUCCAUGGACGACGGACGGUAUCGUCGCCAUCCGUCGAAGUUAAUUGCUGGGCAGGAGGUGGUUGGGUGUUGGGAGCAGGAGGCAGAUAGAUACAGAUAAUACUACAGCGGUUAGUUGAUGAGGGCAUGAUCGAGGCAGAGUGAAUUCAUUUGCAGCAGCAAUAGCAACUUAUUAGGGUAUGUUAUACUAUAACACUUUCGUUUAUAUUUAGCAAUAAAUAUUUAAUUAUAGACUAACUAGACUCAACAAGUACUUUAUCUCGCGAUUUACAUAUACAAACUAUGUAGUUAAUUAUUUUUUUUUUAUUUAUAUAUAUUUUAUGUUUCGUACAUGCGUCUAAAGAUUCGAUGCGACGAGAAAUCUUAUAAACAUUUAGAAUUUUAAAGACAUUUAAACACGCCCUUAAAUAGCAGCCGCCUAACACGACUUAGCAGGCAGGGUGAUGGCGGCAGUCGGCAGGGACGGACGUACGUGGCUCUCAUCUGAUGAAGUUGGAGGCGUAUUCACUCUCUCUCACUAGUGUGUCAGUGUGAGGUAGUUUGCAGUUGGAUCCGAGUGCUUAUCGCACAAUAAACACAUACUCUUCCUGCAUUAAGACGUCAAUUAUAUAUGGAUCGUCCAUCAUCCAUGAAUCCUUCCAGUAGUCUUCGUUAAUUCCUCCCGGCCGCAACCAGAAACAGAGAUAUCAGUACAGUGCAGGAGGUUACAUGCACAUUCACAAAUUGAAGUUGCAGCAGUGGUAGCGAUUAAGUUGUCCAGCAAGUAUGGGAGCCCACAUGUCGCUGUCUCGAUCGGAAGCUCCGCCACGUAUUACAUACAUGCAUCCCGUCCCCAACCUAGCUAGCUACCUCUGUGUGCACAGGCAGGUACCACCGACGGUUUCCCAAAACUCGUAUGUGUCCGACCCUCAAAAACAAAUCUCUCAAUUUUUGUUCAAAACAAACAAAUUUUUUAAAAUUUUAGAUUCAAAAACAAACAACUUUUGACCAUCAAAGAAAAAUACUGCUCUACCUCGAUCCGUUCUAAAAAGAACUUGGGAUUAUAUUCUAGAAAGUAACAGAUAGAUUCGUGUGUAAUGUUUAGAGAUGAGAUCUUGUAUGAAAAGAUUGGUUGAUGCGUAUAGAGCAACUUCAACCAAACUUCUAAAUGAACCUCUACCUUUUUAUAUAAAGGGGCUAAAACUCAAAUAUACUCUCGAACUGAUCCGGUCCCGACGGAGAGGGGCUCCCAUUUAUCUUUCCUCUAGAUGUAUGAGGCGGUGUUUCGGAUGGUUUGAUUCAAUUCCUUGCAGCUGCUAUUCAAUGAUGUCUUAACUGUAGCUCAUUUCUACCACUCUUAAUUAUGUAUGGCGAAGAGAAGAUUAAGCUCCCAAUCGAGUCCGAGUUGGAGGAUUUCGGUGCAACGUGGAGUUUGAUCUCUGCAUGGAUCGUUAAAUCUAAGUUGAGGUCAAUGUUUGUACUACAGAUCAUAGUACAUUGUGGUUGCCCUUGUUUGUAUGAGAUCUAGUGUAGAAUUUGUUGAUACUUUGUUGGCUACACAUUUGAUGGUUCCUUUCACUUAGGUUUCUUGGAUGAGCAGUUGUAAAUGCCAUUGCUUUCAUUAGUCGGCAGUUUGGUGCGCAUAGUGGUGUUCACAUGUGCUAGUUGCUCAUUUAGUGAUUGUGGUUCCUGAAUUAUGUGUUUGAGGUGGAGCACAUUUAGAAAGUAUGGAUUUGCAUUCUUCACUAUCUGUUCAAUUAAUGCCUUAGGUGAUUUCUUCGCAUACCCUUUCGUGAUCGAGCAAUUUGUUCAGACUUGGGUUAGAAGGCAGUAGCACAUGCUCAAACAUUUGCUGCGGUUAGAAUUUGUCGAAGACUCAGUUUUGUUCAUCUGAAUUUGGUGAGACACGAUUUGAACUUCCUAGUUAUUCUUGCUUGCUCGAUUUGGUAGCUUCUUGUGAAGCAUUUGUUGGUGGUUUUGUUAGUGUAUUUGACUUGGUGUUGGAGAUUUGAGCAUUUUGCAUCAUGAUCAUUGGUGUGUUGGCCAUGUUGUUCACUCAUUGGAGUUCACUCAUGAAUUUGUUUCUAGCUUCAUCAUUUGCCAAGUCAAAACAAGCUACCUUCAUGUUGGAGGCGAUAAAUUUGUCUUUUUUAUUAUUUAUUUGAAGAUGAAGGAUUUGAAGAUUGGACUUCCCUCAUCAAGAAUCUUGAUGUGUUCGCUCUAUGGUUCAAUCGUCGCCGAGGUAUAGAAUUGUGAUGUUGCAGCUUCUAAUAACACCAUUUGAGGCUUUACAUUAUGCAGAAUGUUACCUAUAUGUUUGGUUAGGUGUCUAGGAACUUAUUUGUGGUAAUCUGUAACUUUGAGAGCCUUUUAAUGAAAUGCCCAAACCAGCCCAAAAAGGGCAUCCCAAGCUCCCUGCUUCUGUAGGUGCAUGCUCUUCCCCUUUGGGGGGUUGAGAGAGGCCGGGAGAGGAGAUUUGAGGGUGGGGCUUUGUUUUACCAAAUCUGAACAUUAUAGAGUGAAAUCGGAGGGGAUUUAGAGCCUUCGCCAACCUUGUUAGUUCACGCCUCUUGUAUCAUCAUCUUCACAGUGGAUUGCUUGCUCGUCGCCGCCUGUGGUUUUUCCUACAAGGGGUUUCCACAUAAAUCUUAGUCUCUACCUAUGAUUCAGUAUUUAUCUUGCCAUACUUGUUGAUUCAUACCAAUCUUGCUUACAUGGUGUCAUUUCUCCAAGUUCAUGGUGUAUGAUUGAUAUUGACGUAUGAUGCAUACAUGCAUUCUCUUAUAUGUUAAUGAUGGGGAUUGAUGUGUUAGUGAGUUCAUAUUUACAAGUAUACUCAUUAUUGUGAAGUUUGCAUAGCACCAUGUCUGAAGAAUUGAUAAUAUGGGUCUGAUUUGUAUUUUGCACAUAAGGUGUUAGUUGAAAUAUUCAUGAGUAACUAGCUUGCUAAUUUUGAUGUUUCCUCUGCCUCUAUGCGCUUACAAUAAGUUUAUGGAAUAAAUUUUAGAUCCUUAAUUGAUAUUUAUCUUUGGAAAUAGAGGAAGUAAUAAAUGGUCCCAAUUUGCUAGCCACUUGUACAUAGUUAUACUAUAUACAAGCUUAUGCAAGUCAAAAUGUAAAAAACAAGAAGAACCAAGAAACAUGAACAAAAUACAUACAUACACUUAUGCAAGAUGUAGUAUAUAACUUUUAGGACAAUAUUUAUUUUGGCUCUGUUUCACUAGUGGAGUAGCUUUUUCCACUGGUAAAGGUAAAAUUGUUUUAGUUGUUUGGUCAAACAACUUCUCUAAUUCUUAAAAACAAAAAAUGACUAUAAUACUCUUUUUUGGCUGGCCGAGCUUUAAAAUUUUUAUCUUCUUUUUUAUGAAUUCUUCUUUAUGUGGCUACCAUCUGUUUGUCCUCCCCGCUUAUCCCCUGGUGCCCCGACCCGUCCACCUCCGCCUCAGCUUUGCCACCUUCAUCCUCAUCCAGCCACCAGAUGUUUCUCCUCAGUGUUCAUCCCAUGGUCCCCGCCCAUCUCCCACCGGUGACUCCACCCCUCACACCUCAAUGACUCCACCCCGCCCUUGUUACAUCAUUCUUCGUUGUAGUUUUGUUUGCAUCCAAUGACUUCAGUCACCCCCACAACUCUAGCCCCAUGCCACACUUGUCAUGGUGCAUGUAUUUGCCGCACCAUGCCUAUACAAAGAUGGCCCUCAUGACUUGAUGGAAGAGCUAAGCAAAGCCAUUUUUAGCUUCCCUAGAUGUGAGCGCGUGUAAGAUCGUGUUUUCCGAAGUUAGCACGAGGAGUAGCAACAGCUUUCAAGAUGGCAACGGGCCCCGAUCCCCGAUGGGGAUUUCAUCCAUUAGGGGACGAGAACGGGAAAAUUUUGAUCCCCGUAGGGGGACUUCAUGAGAAAGAAGGAUCCUCCAUCAGGUGAAGCGGGGAUGCAAACAUUCUAGGCUUCAUCCUUUAGCCUGACCCAACAAAUGAAAUAGGUCCAGUUUCUAACACCUAAAAAAAUCAUAUAAAAGCAAGAGCAUUUGUAACCCUAGUGAUCCACCAUUGCUUCUAGGCUUCUAGCUGAGUUGUCACUUCCACCGGUCCUCCUCCACUCCUCCUGUAUGCCUCUAAAGUCCAAGCUCAUCCUAUCUCCCUCUCUCCCCUCUACCCUCUGUCUCGCACCAACGACGUUGUGGUGGCGGUGAUGCUUGCGGGCUGUGGCCACAUGCUCUGGUAAGCAAGCACUGCUCUAGGGUUGAACCUGACAACAGCGGAGCCACGGAUGAGGUGUUCAAGGGAAGACGUGAAGGGCAACACCAAGGGGUUUAUCGGGGAUAGAGACCCCGCCGAGUGUGUAAUCUCGGGGACAGGGAUGGGGAAAUCUGGUACCCAGGUGCAGGGAUAGGAACAGGGACGGGGAGCGGGGUGUUUUUCUUUUCUCAUGGUCAAAACGUUCAAGCAAAACCUGACGGGGAUAGCCCCGUUGCCAUCUUUAAACGGCUCUCCUUCACCUGUUCGGUAGACGAACACGUAGACCAACUCUAGGAGCAGUUUGAUUUACAUUUCCUGACGGUUGACGGAGUUAGUAAUUAAUUACGUAAGAGUAGUUGAAGGAGCUUCCCGGCACCAUAUACUUGCGAGUGAUAUGCAGGGGUUACAAUAAUUACAGUUUACAAUGCUCGUCUCUUUAAUUAUGCGACGGGACGUGACGAUGGCCCAGCGGCUCAGCUGCAUGCAUGGAUCAAUCGAUCGAUCGCCAAUUAUCAAAAAAACCAAUCGAUCGACAGCUAGGUAAACUACCAGCUGCGGAUUAUAAAUUAUUCACGCUCAUCAUAUACAUAUAUAAUUAUAUAUACACGUACGUACGCUUCUGAGUACGAGCGACGAAAGUGUGGUGCAAGUGCAGCGUACAUGCCGGUACAGCGGCCAUCAUAUCAAGAUAUGUAUCCAUCUCCUACUACUGUACACAUUUGUAUCCUUACGGAGAUACAGUAUAUCAAGAUCAUCCUCUGACUCACUGCAUAGUCUGCACCGCAUCACGUACGUGCCGAAUACGUACAAGACUGAUUCAUGCUACAUAGUACGUGCGCCACACUCCUCGAUCGAUCGGUACAUCUUCACGUGUCCAUGUUCCUCAUCAACGAAUUAAUGCAUUUGUUUUCACAUGCCGCAUGCAUGAGAGUCGUCGGUCGUGGUGCCACUGUGCACACAUGCUUGAGUCCUUUGCUUUUCCUGUGCUCCAAUUCUUUUUUUCCAUAUACUCUACUCCCCGUCCCAAAAAAAGUGUCGUUUUAGAAUUUCAAACAUCUUAUUUGAUCAUCCAUUUUAUUCAAAAUUUUUACAUAAGUAUUAUAAAUUUUGUUAAGACCUAUUUAUCAUUAGAGAUACUUUACUAAUGAUUUAUUUAUUUUAUAAUUUACACAAAAUUUUUGAAUAAGACGAACGAUCAAACACGAUUUCUAAAAAUAAAAAACGUCACUUUUUUUAGAAUGGAGGGAGUACAUUAUUUUCAGAUGCCCAUCCUAGAGUAUGUAGUACCAUUCCAUGUAACAGCUAGUACCUUGUACCUAGGAUGGAGUACGUACUACUCGUGCUUGCAGUAGCGCGCGAAAGUGGACGACAGCACGCCCAUACGGCCAUCCGCUCACCAUUGUCUACAUCCUAGCUUUCUACGUACGUGUGUACCUGUACAUAUAGUCAUAAACCUAUAUCUACAUUUUUUAAUAAUAAUUUAUAUCCAUACCCUAAUAAUUUUAAUAAUAAUGAAUAAUAAAAGAAGCAAAAAAUUUCCCAUCCCUCCUAUUACUGCUUUAAGUAAAAAAAAAGACCUUCACGGACGCGGCAACACUUGUGUUAGGAUGAAAGAUAGAAAUGAGGCACAGCCAAUCUGUCGUCUUGUGAUGAAUUACGAAAAGAAUAUUUGUCAUCAGAUCAGUAGUAGAAUUAACAAUCACACGUAGAACAGACACAAUGAUUUAUGUGAAAGACCUUUUCAAGGCAAGAAGUAAAAACUAUGGAACCAAACGCUCUACUCCAAGCUUCCACUAUAAGUACAAUGAGUGUAGAAGGAGUUUUAUCUAGGGAAUCUAGAGUUAACCAGCGAUAACACAUUCAUCAAAUUACAAACUUGCCAUCAGUUAGAACCACAACCUUCUAACAAUAAGAGGAAUGACAACAACGAAGUAAAGAACUCAUAUAUUUUGUUCCCCUUUGGUAUCAAUUUAUAUCUCAAACUAUAGCUUUAUUGUGCAUUAAUUUUGAAAUGCAUAUAGAUCCACAAGUCCCCUAGCCACUGAUCAAGUUUUAGCUCAAUUGGACACCAUUUCACCAUCCAAAACAAUCAUCUACCAAAAUUUCUCUCUGUCUUGAAACUUAGUAACCAGAGCUGACAAAACAUACCCUUUCAAAUCUGGUGCUCUAAUCAACCGAUCCUCAAACCAACUGAACAUAUCAAACUAACCUAAUUGAGGAAUGAGCUAACCAAGUUUGGUCCCAAUCCAUCUAUGUUUGAGCCUACAAUCACUGGCUUUAAGAUGGCUGGUUAGAGCCACCAAAUCUCGAUAGAUUUGGUUCUUCUUAUUGUUCCUCCUCUUUGUCUAUCACGUUGUGGUGUUCUUGUGUUUCUCAACACCCCUCUCUUAGCUCCAACAACUAAAGGAAUAAAAGCUAGGGUUUUUAUUUUUAGUUUCCAAUUAAGAUUGAUCUUCACCGUUGGUUCCAACUAAAAUCAACAACUCACAAGAACUAGCCUCAGAGUUAUAUUUUCAGCUGCUUUGCGGAGCUCAAGAUCAUCCUCUAUAUGAAGGGACAGACUAGCACUUGUGUCAUAGCUUGGUCGACUGAGCUUGAGAUCCAACGGUGGGGUGGUGGGGCUCUAGAGCCCCCUCCUACGGCUACUGGACCUAUGGAGUCUCCAUAGGAAUUUUUUAUCAUGGAUGCACUUGAGGAGAGGCUGAAGCUAUCUAAAGGUUUAAAGAAAUCUCCCUAGACAUUUUUGCUAGAUCCGUUCCUAUAUGUGAUACAACCAGUGCAUUCAAUAGCCAGUAGCCACCAAAUCACUAGAAUUUAUUUGAUUUAAUUAAAGUAAAGUUUGGUUCCAACUAAAUUAAUAAAUUUAAUAAAAUGAUUAGUUUAUUAUCAUCUACUUUGGUAGAUCCAGACAAUCGCACGAGAAGUUGUAGGUGUGUACUUGUGUUACAGCACAGCAGCAUAUAUGAGCAUAUUCGUUAUGCCAAUAUUAUACACAAAGAAAAAGAGUCAUGGACGAGGCGGCAAUUGCUGUCGGUGGAUGGCUACCUUUCGGAAGCUAGCCACCGUACACACUCUUUUGGCCGGCCGGCGUCGGCGUGCUGCCAAGUGCAACCUCCCCAACGCUAAGCAGGUAGUGAUAUUAAUGCCGCUGCCGGUGAGGCUCGUCGUCGUCGUCGUCGUCGUCGUCGUGUGACACAAACAAGUCUACCAUCACCCAGAGUGGUCCCGGACACUGUAGGACACGCGUAGUGUAUGUACGCAAUGUCGUCGUCUGCUGCCCUGCUCAACGAUGUGUUCUAACUUUAUUACACGGUACCUGUACGAGGGUAGCAGCAGCUGCUCGGCUGCUGCAGGUGGAUCAUGCACACGCGCGCAACUCCAACACUACCCUAAACUUCACUUGGCAAAUCUUGAAUUUUGCAAAGUGUAAAACUCAAAUGCCAAGUGAAAAAAAGAGGCUUCUGUUAGCUAUUUCUUUUGACAAAUUUGGACUAUCUUGUGAUUCCUGAAAAAAUCAGAGAGACUUUUAUACAAAAGUUGCAAUCUAUUUAAGGCAUGCGUGCAUGCUGAAUGUGUGGGUCCCACCGCGUAGGCAGGAUGCCAAGCGCUCCCAACGCUCUUAAAUUUGAGCCAGUUGGCCCUCUUUUUGCCAAGCAUCCUAUUUUGCCAAGUGCAUAUAGAGUAGUGUUGGAGGAGCUUUUCCAUGUUUUGCCAAAAAUUAGGAUUUGCCAAGUGCAUAUAGGGUAGUGUUGGAGUUGCUCUAAGGACGUCCAGAACAGCCAUCUAAGGUCUCUUUGGUUGGACUUUUGAACCUGCUUUUGCUUUUGUAAAAGCCAAAAUCCAACCAAAGGGCCCAAAAGCCACAAGUGCUUUUGCCCAAAAGCAGCUUUUCUCGUAGUACAAAUCCAAAAGCACCUCACCCCCUGCUUUCACUGACUUCUGGGAUCCGUUCAGUUUUUUUUUCCAAAAGCCACGAGUGACCAACCAAAUGACUUUUGGGUUUCUCAAAGCCCACAUCCCACAGUAGCUUUUCAAAAGCUCAAAGCUCACAGUAGCUUUUCCAAAAGUCACAUCCCAAUCAAACACACCCUAAGGCCUUGUUUAGAUCCAAAUAAUAGAUCUACAGGAUCUACUAGCAAUAGAAAGAACAGGGAUUCGGGAUACAUAAGUAACAUAGACAGUAACAUAAAUAUGCACACUAGAUCUAUUACAUAGGGAAUAGAAACAGGUAGAUCUAGAGUAUAGGGAUUCGACCGUCGUUGGCGGCGGGUGUAGAUCCAGUGGGGUCCAUGGCGAGGGCGUUGACGCGGUGACGGAGUAGAUCCCGUCGUCCUUCGGGCCUCCACCGGCACUGACCGACGACGGCGGGGUAGGAGUAGAAGGGUGACGGCGCGGUGGUGCUUCCCGACGCCACUGCGCACUGUCGAUCGGCGACCUAGGGUUGUGAGUAGGGUUUGGCGGCGCACGACGAACUUCGUGUUGUGUGCCAGUAGCCCCCUACUCCUAUAUUUAUAGCGCAGCGCGUCGGGGGCCCACCAACGAUAGAUCGAUUGGACGCCCCCGAUCAGGGCGCGAUCCAGGGGGAAAGGCCCCAGCCGUUGGGCUGGGCCUGAGAUCAAUAUAACAUUCUCCCUCUUGAUCUCAUCUGUGCUUUCUCGCUUUGUCAACUCACCCCGUCACAAAUCAGUGUAUUGAGCAUGCUUCAUCUUAGCAGUUAUCACUGCUAGAUUAGACAGCCACAAACACUUUUCUGUUUAGAGAUGAAUUCUCGCCUUGGGCCCCUUGCUAUCCAGGAAUCACAGGCUUUCCCUUAAACCCAUGUCGGCUACAUGUUCUCUGAACAUACUGGGCGGUAAGCCUUUCGUAAGCGGAUCCGCUAGCAUCUUUUCUGUGCUUAUAUGUUCAAGACUUAUGAUGUGAUCUCGGAUUUUAUCCUUGACAACAUAAUAUUUUAUGUCAAUGUGCUUGGCGGCAUUGCUUGACUUAUUGUUGUGAGCAUACAACACUGCUGGCUCGUUGUCACAAUACAACUUUAGUGGUUUAUCGAUGCUGUCGACCACCUUUAAACUGGGUAUAAAUUUCUUAAGCCAAUUCACCUGUCCUGAUGCCUCAUAACAAGCAAUAAACUCAGCAUACAUUGUGGACGAUGCAGUGAUUAUUAUUUGUUUUGAGCUCUUCCAUGAUAUGGCUCCUUGCACGAGAGUGAAUAUAUACCCUGAGGUAGACUUUCUAUCAUCUUCCGCGUAAUCAGAAUCUGAAUACCCUACUAUUUGUAGGUCAUCAGAUCUUCUAUAGGUUAACAUAUGAGCCCCUUCGUGCCUUGCAAGUAUCUUAAGAAUUUCUUUACUAGAUUCCAGUGUUCCAUACCAGGAUUACUUUGAUAUCUACCAAGUAGCCCGGUCACAAAAGCCAGGUCCGGGCGUGUGCACACUUGAGCAUACUGUAAGCUUCCGACAGCUGAAGCGUAUGGAACGGCUUGCAUGCAAUCGCGCUCGAACUUGCUCUUGGGACAUUGAUGUUCCCCAUACUUGUCACCUUUUACAAUAGGAGCAGGUGAAGGUCUACACUUAUGCAUAUUGAAUUUCUUCAAUAUUUUCUCUAUAUAUGCCUCUUGGGACAAUCCCAAUACCCCUCGACUUCUAUCUCGGUGAAUCUUUAUGCCCAAGACAAAAGAAGCUUCACCUAAAUCUUUCAUAUCGAAAUUUGAGGACAAAAAUCUCUUGGUUUCCUGUAGUAGAGUGACACCACUACUGGCUAGUAGAAUGUCAUCUACAUACAGUACUAGGAAAAUGUAUUUCCCAUUCUUAAACUUUGCAUAUACGCAAUUGUCCUCAACAUUCUCUUUAAACCCAAACUUUCUGAUUGUCUUAUCAAACUUUAAAUACCACUGCCUGGAUGCUUGCUUUAAUCCAUAAAUGGAUUUCUUCAGGCGACAACCCAUUCUUUCUUUGCUUGUCACAACAAAACCUUUCGGUUGUGCCAUGUAUACUCUUUCUUCUAGAUCCCCAUUGAGGAAAGCUGUCUUCACAUCCAUUUGAUGCAAUUCUAGAUCAAAAUGUGCCACUAGGGCCAUUAUGAUUCUAAAAGAGUCCUUGCUCAAGACGGGAGAGAAUGUUUCAUUAUAAUCUAUCCCUUCUCGCUGAGUAAAACCCUUGGCUACCAGUCUUGCUUUGUACCUUUCUAUGUUCCCUUUGGAGUCACGUUUCACCUUGUAGACCCAUUUGGAGCCUACUGUUUUGGCUCCUUCAAGAAUUUCCUCUAGGUCCCAAACUUUAUUGGUACUCAUAGACUUUAAUUCAUCUUCCAUGGCUUCUUGCCACUUAGAUACUUCGGUGCUCCUCAUGGCUUCUUCAAAUGAAGUGGGUUCAUCCUCCAUCUGAACUUCUUUGCAUUCAUAGACUAUAUAGUCAUCUGGAAUAGGAGACUUUCUCGCUCUUUGAGGUCUACCAGAAGUUUCUGGUACUGGCAUUUCUUCUUGAGGUUGCUCUUGUUGGGGCUGCUGUUCUUCAACUAUGGGUUCAUUCGGCUCCUGAAGGACAAGUUCCGAAUUAGCCAUAGGCGAAAAAGCAGCAGGUGUUGUCACUACUAGUGUAGAUCCAACAACAACAGGCAGCGUAAAGUAGGGUUCUUGCACCAUGGGAAUGGGCACGAACACCCGCUUCUCUGCAAGGGUAAUUUCUCGCGCUGCCUUGCUCCCCCUGAUCAUCUGAUCUUCUAGAAAACUAGCGUGUCUCGGUUCCACAAACUUGGUAUGUCUACCAGGGCAGUAGAAACGAUAACCUUUUGACUUUUCUGGAUAGCCAAUAAAAUGACAACUUACUGUUUUGGGGUCUAGCUUUCCUAUGUUUGGGUUAAAUACUUUUGCUUCAGCAGGGCUCCCCCAGACACGCAAAUGGUUGACUGAGGGUUUCCUGCCGGUCCACAACUCAUACGGUGUUUUAAGUACUGACUUGCUUGGAACUCUGUUGAGAAUAUGAAUGGCGGUUUUUAAGGCCUCCAUCCACAAACUCAAUGCAGAGUGGAAUAGCUCAUCAUGCUGCGCACCAUAUCCAUUAGAGUACGGUGACGCCUUUCUGCUACUCCAUUCUGCUGUGGGUCCCCUGGCAUUGAAUACUGGGCUACUAUGCCAUUUUCCUGUAAGAACCUCGCAAAAGGUCCAGGAACUUGUCCAUAAGGGGUAUGUCGACCGUAGUACUCCCCCCCCCCCCACGGUCAGAUCUUACUACUUUGAUUUUUCUGUCUAGUUGGUUUUGAACCUCAGCCUUGAAUAUCUUAAAUUUGUCUAAAGCUUCUGAGCGUUCUUUGAUUGGAUAGAUAUAUCCAAAACGAGAGUAGUCAUCUGUGAAUGUGAUGAAGGAAUCAAAACCAUCCACAGAUGUCACUGGAAAAGGUCCACAGAUGUCUGUGUGGAUCAAUUCUAGUACUCCUGUGCUUCGCUUAGUGCCUUUCUUUAUGUUCUUUACUAACUUGCCUUUAAUGCAAUCGACGCAUUGCUCUAACUCUGAGAGUUCUAGUGGUGGGAGGAUUGAUUCUUUAACUAAGCGUUCUAUUCUCCCCCUCGAAAUGUGGCCUAAGCGACAGUGCCAUAAUUUCGAUGAGGAAUCAAUUCUCUUUCUUUUCUUGCUAGCAUCUGCGGGUAUUGCAUUCUCAGCAUUAUUACAUUCAGCAUUCACAUUCUCAGACAUAGAUAAUAAAUAAAGUUUGUCUUGUCGGAAGGCAAGACCCACACAUUUAUUAUUUAACUGUAGCUUACAAUCAUUCUUGCUGAAAUGGCAAUCAAAACCAUAGUCUGACAAACAUGAAACUAAAAUUAAAUUUCUAGCUAAAGAGGGGACAUAAAGAACAUCAUGCAACUCAAGUGUGAAGCCACUAGCUAAAUCUAGAGAUAAAUUUCCUAUAGCUUGAACUUCAGCAGCAACACCAGUGGCCACCUUAAUCUGUCUUUCUCAUCUUUGAAGGGUUCUCCCUCCACUGAAUCCCUGCAAAGAGUUUGCAACAUGAACAGUUGCACCUGAGUCAAUCCACCAUGUGGAUCUAGCAUAACUUAGAUAUAAGGAUUCAUCAACAAAAGUUAUAAUGUCCUCACCUUUCACUAGGCAAUGUUUCAUGAACUUAGGGUAUUCAUGCUUCCAAUGCCCUGUCUCAUUACACCAUCUACAGCGAUCCGGGUCCUCCUGCCUGUGCUGGUUGUCUUGCUUUGGCUGUGCUUUUGGCUGUGAAGAGCUUCCUCCCUUGUUCUCGGAGGUGGAGGCAUCUAGAGCUUUCUUGUUGUAGAAUGGUUUCUUGUUCUUUCCUUUCACAAAGUUCACAGAACCACCAUUUGCAUUCUUGAGCCUUUCUUCCUCUUGCACACACAUAGCAAUCACCUUCUCUAAAUCCCACUCCUCUGGCUGUGUGUUGUAGUUAACAACAAAUGUCUCAUACUCUUUAGGAAGUGAGUUUAGAGCUAGGUGAAUGAUGAAACCAUCAGCGAGGGGCAUCUUUAGCUUCUCUAACUUGGCUGCCAUGGUGCUCAUGCUCAGAAUGUGCUCUCUCACACUCCCCCCUGUGAACCUCAUGUUAGUGAGUUUCUGGAUCAGGGUGGAAGCAUGAGCUUUGGUGGAACCAGUAAACUGAUUCUUCACUUUCUCAAGGUAUUCUUUUGCUGUCUCACAUUCUGGGAUGGCACCUCUUAGGCCCUCUGUGAUGGUUUUCUUGAUGACAAUCUUGCAUUUGCGGUUUGACUUUUCCCACUUGUACUUCUCAAGAUCAUACUUUGCUAUGAUGGGAGCAAAGUCUCGCUUCCGAUUAGCAAAAGCUUCAUCGCUCUCAUUCUGAGCCCUUUCGGGCUCCUCUGGCUCAGUGGGCUUUGGCUCCUGAAGAGCCAAAUCUAUCUCAGCAAGUGCUAGAGCUGCAUCAAGUUCCUCGCGCCACAGAACAUAGUUCUGCCCCGUCAGCUUUGGGAUUGCACUGAUGAAGUGCAUCGCAUUCUGCGCUUGGUCUGAAAUUAAAUAUGAGAAAAUAGUGAGAACAUCAACAUUAAAUCUAGGAAAAAUAAUUGCAUAUCUUAAUUUAACGUUGGUCAAAAUCAAGAUAUACAAAAAUUAACUCUCUACAUAAAUUCUAAUCACUGUUGGGCAGAAUAGAAUAAAUACAUAAAAUUAGAACUUGGAAUUUGUAAUAUUGCUAUUAUUAACGUUGGUCAAAAAAUAACAAUAUCACAAAAAUACUAGGCUUUAAAACUCGUGUCUCAAAUUAAAUAUCCCGUUGGUUCAAUUUAAUAUGAGAACGAAAAAAUAACUUGCGCAGCGGAAAACAUUAAUUUAUUUACUAUUUUUAGAAGCAUAACUAGCUAACUGUGCUUUCUAAUUAAUAUACACGUUGGUGCAAAUUAAAUAGAAUUUAAAACUGAGCAAAACAAAUAUUUAAAUGCUUCUGAAAAUUAAAUAGAAUAUAAAAAAGGAGUUACAUUGCUUAAACGGGCCGUGGCCAACCAUUCGGCCCACGACCUCUUGCGGUCCAGCUCGGACGCUGGCCCAGCAGCGCACGGGUGCUUCUGAGUUUUUUUUAUUCUUGGCUGGUGGCACGCGGCCCAGCUAUCGGUUUUCGGCCCAGCCCAACGGCAUGCGUGCACGCGGGCGCUUGGCGGGCCGCAACCUGGGCCGGUGGCGCGCAUUCGGCCCAGCGCCGAAACCCGCCUGGGCUCAUUCUAGCCCAGCAGCCGCUGGUCGUCCGAUUUGCGGCCGUCGCGAUCGGACGGUAGAGUGCGCAGGUCGGAGGCAUAAAAGCCGCCGGCGCCAGGCUCUCUCUCCCAAACCCUAGUUUCUUUCUCCUUUGCUUCCUUCCUGACUCAGCAGCCGACGGCGCCGGCGCAGGAGCCAGACAGCCGCGGCAAGGGCCUCGCCGGCGCCGGUGAAGACGCCGUCGUUUCGGCCGCUCCCUUUCUCCUUUCUGUGCUUUCUUUUGCUUUUUCUCUCUCCAGUCCACUUGCGCCCAGCUGUAGAGAAGGACGCAGUGCUUUGCCGGCCGGAAAGAGUGGCGCCGCCGCGGUUCCUAUCGCCGGAGCGCGCGCUUCCCGUGGUGGGUGAGCGCGCCGCCGUCGAUAAGAGUCGCGAUGGUGCCCUGCGCUUGGCCCCCAUGCGGGAUUCCUCCCUGGUUUUGACCACCCCGGCCGCUAUGGUCGUGAGGCCGGGAUGGGCUAGCGCCCAGGUAGGGUGUUCCUUUAUUCUUUGUUGUUUGAUCUAUGCUUUUAGGGUUAGGAAAUCCCUUUUCUCGAUCUUUCGCGUUUGGAUCUGGGCGCUAGGUUUAGGGUUUGGGAAAAAAAAUAAAUCCUCUCCUUCUACUUGCUGGGCUUGUUGGGUAAAUCCCGAAAACCCCGAUCUAUUACUAGAUCGGCUGAUACCAUUGAUAGAUCUACAGGAUCUACUAGCAAUAGAAAGAACAGGGAUUCGGGAUACAUAAGUAACAUAGACAGUAACGUAAAUAUGCACACUAGAUCUAUUACAUAGGGAAUAGAAAUAGGUAGAUCUAGAGUAUAGGGUUUUGACCGUCGUUGGUGGCGGGUGCAGAUCCAGUGGGGCCCAUGGCGAGGGCGUUGACGCGGUGACGGAUUAGAUCCCGUCGUCCUUCGGGCCUCCAUCGGCACUGACCGACGACGGCGGGGUAGGAGUAGAAGGGUGACGGCGCGGUGGUGCUUCCCGACGCCACUGCACACUGUCGAUCGGCGACCUAGGGUUGUGAGUAGGGUUUGGCGGCGCACGACGAACUUCGUGUUGUGUGCCAGUAGCCCCCUACUCCUAUAUUUAUAGCGCAGCGCGUCGGGGGCCCACCAACCAUAGAUCGAUUGGGCGCCCCCGAUCAGGGCGCGAUCCAGGGGGAAAGGCCCCAGCCGUUGGGCUGGGCCUGAGAUCAAUCUAACACCAAAAAGUUUUUGGAUUUUGAGAUUAUAGCAUUUUUAUUUUUAUUUGACAAAUAUUGUUCAAUCAUAAAGUAACUAAGUUUAAAAGAUUUGUCUAGCGACUUACAGACAAACUGUACAAUUAGUUUUUGUUUUCAUCUAUAUUUAAUGCUCCAUGCAUGUGCCACCAGAUUCAAUGUAACGGAGAAUCUUGAAAAGUUUUUGGUUUUUAGGGUGAACUAAACAAGGCCUAAAUAACUAGUAGAUACAUAGUAUUUUAUUUCACAUGGAGGAAAGAGAACGUGAAAACUGAGGCCUUGUUUAGUUUCAAUUUUUUUUGCAAAAUAGAUACUGUGGCACAUUCGUUUGUAUUUGACAAAUAUUAUCCGAUCAUGAACUAAUUAGGAUCAAAAGAUUUGUCUCGCAAAUUACAAUUAGGGUUUUAUAAAUGCAUUCCCCCCAUCAACCUUUAUACUCACUUUGGCUUCCCCUUUUAUAGGACACUAUUACUUGGGGAAACCAGUUUACACUCCUAUCCUACGACACAGCGGCUAUGGUACAUUAAUGGAAUACGCUUAGCCACAAACAUAAUUUUAGGGUUACUUUGGGGCAUUCCACCUUGGCAACCGCCUUAAUUCAUGGGCCUUUUCUAGUGCCCACAGAGGCCCAUCUAUCACCUCAAGUUCUAGGCACCGUAGGGGCCUUCUCGUCAGCCUUCACUAGAAAAGCCCCGCCUUCCGCCGCGAUCUGGGCUCAUGCUACUCUGGACCUUCACUGCUACACUACCACCUUCGCCUUGUGCUCCAUCCAAGGAGGGUUCCGUGAUGCCUUUGCCCCUCAGAGCGGGACCUUCGCCAAUGUCGAGGGUGCGGGCGAAGGCUCCUGUCUUUGUUCCUGCCAAUCAAUGAUCAUGUUUCGUGCAUUGUUAGUCUUUUUUCGCUGGUGUAUCCCCUAGCUGCCAUAGCUCAUAGUUCCAUGUCCCAACAAUGUCUAAGAGCAAUUUCACUAGGAACCCUUAAAUUAGGGUUCCCACUUUUGAUUCGAGGGUUAUUCAACUUUUAAGUUUUUUUUGCAUCUAUUGUAACAACUCUCAAAUCCAUUUCAGUAGUCACGGAGACACAAACACAUGAGAUUCACUCGCCAUUCUCUUCCUAUGACCAUAACUACCUUCGCUCCAAUCAACUAAGCUAUGACUGACACGGGGUGGAGCAGCAGUAACCUCAUUAGGGAGGGGUUUGUGCCAAGGGCAGAGGAGCCGAUGAUGAGAGAGUAGCCACGUUGGGGACUGACCUUGUAAGAAUAGGGAAGGACCUCACUAGGGGAUGGGACAAGCACUAGGGAGAGGAGUCACGCUAGGGGAUCGAGGAUGGGGUAAUAAGGGUCUCGUUGGGACGGGGAAGGACCUCACUAGGGGACAAGACAGGAGCUAGGGAGAGGAGCCACAACGGGGAAGGAUCUCACACAUAGGCGGACAAACCUCACUGUGAGAGCCACGCUACAAGGAGGGAGACCCCUUAGGAAGGGGCACGCCGCUAUAGGGAGGGGAGUCACACCACUAAGGUGAGGGGCCUCAUCAGGGAGAGCCGCACCAAGGGAAGGACCUCCUAGGGACGGUGGAGCAUGCAAGCAACAUCGGAUGUGGAUAGAUGGACACUAUCCUCUUGCAUGCUAGGAGGAAAACGAUAACAAGUGUCAGUUGAGGGCCUAGAGUAGGGUCCCAAGAAAAUGAGGACUAGGAGGAAAAUUUGAGGGGCCUAUGAGUUUUUUUUUCUAGUCAUCAAAUUUGGUUUUGAGGGGUCAAGUAGGUGUCCUGCUAGAGAAGGCACCUCUAAUAAUAGUGAGAGUUAGAUAUCGACUCUUAGAUCCAUCUCAUUCAUAUGUUUUAUUUAUAUAUUCUCUCGUGUCAAGAGAGAGAGAUAAUUCAAGUCUCUCAUACAUUUUAGUACGUGCAAAGAGCUCGGCUUUUCUCAACUUCUCUCCACGCUAGUUCCACGCUAGUUCAAAGGUUUUUGGCCUCUCUCCCCUUUGUGUGGUAUCUGAUACUAGCUUAGAGCAAGUCCAAGAGAAGAGCUAUCCAUAUCAUGUAUUCUAUAUUUGGCUAUUUUGGGAGAGAAAAGAGAGUCCAACAGCUAUUGUAUUUGGUUUGCUAAAAUAGCAAGUCAUCUAUCCCGGAGUUCUCGUAUGGUAAAUAUAGCUUGCAUGUCCUGCUAGCCAUAUGAUUUGCCGUAUAGAAAGACCGUUGGAGAUUUUUAUUUUUUUACAUGAUUUUCUAUUUUAGAGGUUGGCUAAAUUUUGAAUUUAGCCAUCUAUUUUUAUCAACUCUCUUAGAGUUGCUCUUAGAGUUGUCCAAUAGAGAUGCCCUUAGCUAGCUCCCAAUUUAGAAUAUACCUAGACUAGAUCGAUAUCAGGCUUGAGAACGCAUAAUAGUUAGAUAUUUAUACCUAGUAGAUCGUUGGGUUUUAAACAAUACCAUACCUUUUUUUUGAGGGGAAAACGAUACCAUACGUGAAAUGGCUCACAUGAAUAUUAGGCCCGAAAACGGUUAUUGGCUAAACAGAAUUGGGCCUUAAAUGGGCGAUUAAAACAGCAAUGAUGCCUCCGUAGACUAGGAAUCGCAUAGACAAAAAGCUGUGACAUGCAUAUGCCUCGGGUGGGCUAUAAACAGGCCUGCGAUGCAGGCCUAUACACAGCCCAAUUUUUUUUGUGAACAAUACACAGCCCAAUUUGUGUACGUACAAGUGCCGGUUGCUUUUUCAGUUUCUUGCCCCAUGGGAAGCAUUCCCCAAUCGAAUCAUCACGUACGUACUUGACUCUGAUCCAUCAUAACACUUGGUGUCCACUAUGCACGCUCGUAGGCAUUGUUUACUUCCACCCAAAAUCUAAAAUUUUUUCAAGAUUUCGCGUCACAUCGAAUCUUUAGACGUAUGCAUGGAGUAUUAAAUAUAAACGAAAUUAAAAACUAAUUGCACAGUUUGAUCGAAAUUUACGAGACGAAUCAUUUGAGCCUAGUUAGUCCAUAAUUAAACAAUAAUUAUCAUAAACAAACAAAAGUGCUACAGUGUACCGAAAAAAUUUCGGCAAGGAACUAAACAAGGCCGUAGUAUGCUGUUAUAUGAUGGAAUCUAAAGAGCCCCAUUUUCUCUUUUAUCUUACCCUCCAGAUCGAGGCCACAAAAUCCUAGGUACAGAACAUCGUCUGUCAGAUGCAUCUGGUUGCAGCAAAGAUCCACACACAUUACAUAGAAUACGUGCACAGCACCAAAUGCAUGCAACGGCAACAUAUGCAUGCAGCACAAUUAGUUGUACAGUUUCCAUGAUUUACAAGCAAGUCCGGAUUCUUUUACUUCAGUAAACCAUCCUCAUAUUGCAAUGAUGGCAUGAUGCAUAUAUAGAGCGGGAGUGGUUAAGGUCGAUGAAUAAUGAAUCACUGAUGAAGCAGGGCAGACAAGGACACGGCAGCGGCGGCAGAGGCACACUGAGCCCACACAGAUGAAAUGAGCAAAUAUAUAGUACGUCGCGUGUAUAUGUUACUAUAUCUUAUUACUUGAACACAUCACUCUCAUGACUCAUGGAUGGAAAACAUCAUGCAUACAGUACAAUAUAUAAUGGACACAAAAGCUAGUAGUAUUCAUUAUUCAGGAAACCUGUGUGCUAAAGCAACAAGGUUAAAGGCAAGCAAACCCCCAAGGACGACGUUGAGUGCUGCUUUGCUAGCCUGCUACACACACACACACGUACGAUCGAGGUACACGACGACAGCCACAGCGACGACAGAGUUGGUGUAAACUCAAGGUAGUAAACAGUAAAUACUAAUUAAACGGAGUGAUCACUAACAGGUACGGUGCAUGCAUGAUCUACUCCUUAAUUUAUGUAUCUAUCUCAUUGCAUGCAUCAUCCAUGGAGGGAGUCAUGGACGACAUCUGGUAAAACAACGACGACUGCAUGCUGAUCGCCAUCCAACGAGCAUGCCUCAUGCAUGUCCUUAUGAUCGAUCAUCAGUUGAUCCUGCACGUACAUAACAUGAAAGAUAUCAAAUCAUGGUUAUCACACUCGAUCAUUAGCAGAAAAUCACUCAUAAUCACUGUGCAUUCAUGCAUGCAUGGACGACAUAUUUAAUCAAUUGGACAGGGUGAAAAACUCAGCCUAGGAGGCGUCGUACUUGGAGCAGUCGACGUUGGGACUAAUGGGCACGCCGACGGAGACGCCGCACUUGGAGGGGAUGCUGGCGGCGUUACCCAUGCUGACGCCGCCGCCGCCGCCGAGCCUGCUCGUCAUGCUCUUGAGGCAGGCGCAG